rnacentral:rRNA from 1 species
UACGUAGGGUGCAGGCGUUAAUCGGAAUUACUGGGCGUAAAGCGUGCGCAGGCGGUUUCUUAAGUCAGAUGUGAAAGCCCCGGGCUUAACCUGGGAACUGCGUUUGAAACUGGGAGACUUGAGUGUGGCAGAGGGGGGUGGAAUUCCACGUGUAGCAGUGAAAUGCGUAGAGAUGUGGAGGAAUACCGAUGGCGAAGGCAGCCCCCUGGGAUAACACUGACGCUCAUGCACGAAAGCGUGGGGAGCAAACAGG